rnacentral:ncRNA from 2 species
CGCUUCCGAGGAGCGUUGCGACGGUUCCGCAAGAGGAAACCGCCAGGCUCGGAGCAUUCAAUCCGGACGGUUCGAAAGCGCGAUAAGCGCUCAUUGAUCCGCCGCAUCGAACGGCGCUCACGUCAA